UACCAGCUCUCCGAGUUGUAGGGAUGAUUAUUGGGCUUAAAGCGUCCGUAGCUGGCUUAGCAAGUCUCCUGUUAAAUUCAGCGACCUAAUCGUUGAGCCGCGGGAGAUACUACUAGGCUAGGAGGCGGGAGAGGUCGACGGUACUUUCGGGGUAGGGGUGAAAUCCUAUAAUCCCGGGAGGACCACCAGUGGCGAAGGCUGUCGACUAGAACGCGCUCGACGGUGAGGGACGAAAGCUGGGGAGCGAACCGGAUUAGAUACCCGGGUAGUCCCAGCUGUAAACUAUGCGGGCUAGGUGUUGGGGUGGCUACGGGCCACUUCAGUGCCGCAGGAAAGCCAUUAAGCCCGCCGCCUGGGGAGUACGGCCGCAAGGCUGAAACUUAAAGGAAUUGGCGGGGGAGCACCACAAGGCGUGAAGCUUGCGGUUC
rnacentral:rRNA from 1 species